ACCUCUGUUGUCGUUGAAUCUCCCUCUACCCAGCACCCUCUCCGACGGGCUAAGGUCAUCAGAUAUUCUGAUACUGAUGUUGCUGAAUAUCUAUAUAGCUCCAAGCCACAACUUGAUUUGUUGGUCAACUUUUUAUGUAAAGACCUUACUAAAGCAUGCAAUACCAAGCCACCUCCAGGAGAACCUUUUGUGCCCAAGUCAUCCAAAGAGGUAGAAAUGGAAAAGAUAUUAAAAUCUAUGGAGGUGAUCAUUUUGUCAUUGCUCUAUAACAUCUGCAUUCUUUAUAAGGUGGACUGAAGAUUGAUUACGAUAGUCAUUUACAACUACUUUGACUUUUUCGAAAGUGUCUUCUGCUAUAAUAUAGGAUUCGUAACCAAGAGUUAUGGCGAGUAAAUGUAAAGGCAAUAUAUUUGAGUACUUGGUUGUAAACAUUACUCUCUUGAUUGUAAAUAUUAUGUACUUGAGAAUGAAUAAGCAGUUUUAAUUUUGCAUUU